rnacentral:rRNA from 1 species
GAUGAACGCUAGCUACAGGCUUAACACAUGCAAGUCGAGGGGAAACGACAUCGAAAGCUUGCUUUUGGUGGGCGUCGACCGGCGCACGGGUGAGUAACGCGUAUCCAACCUGCCCACCACUUGGGAAUAACCUUGCGAAAGUAAGACUAAUACCCAAUGAUAUCCCAUGAAGGCAUCCGAAUGGGAUUAAAGAUUUAUCGGUGAUGGAUGGGGAUGCGUCUGAUUAGGUAGUAGGCGGGGCAACGGCCCACCUAGCCGACGAUCAGUAGGGGUUCUGAGAGGAAGGUCCCCCCACAAUUGGAACUGAGACACGGUCCAAACUCCUACGGGAGGCAGCAGUGAGGAAUAUUGGUCAAUGGGCGCGAGCCUGAACCAGCCAAGUAGCGUGCGGGAGAAGGCCCUAUGGGUUGUAAACUGCUUUUAUACGGGGAUAAAGUGAGCCACGUGUGGCUUAUUGCAGGUACCGUAUGAAUAGGACCGGCUAAUUCCGUGCCAGCAGCC